rnacentral:rRNA from 1 species
AUACGUAGGGUGCGAGCGUUGUCCGGAAUUACUGGGCGUAAAGAGCUCGAAGGUGGUUUGUCGCGUCGUCUGUGAAAUUCCGGGGCUUAACUCCGGGCGUGCAGGCGAUACGGGCAUAACUUGAGUACUGUAGGGGAGACUGGAAUUCCUGGUGUAGCGGUGAAAUGCGCAGAUAUCAGGAGGAACACCGGUGGCGAAGGGGGAUCUCUGGGCAGUAACUGACGCUGAGGAGCGAAAGCAUGGGUAGCAAACAGGAUUAGAUACCCUGGUAGUCCAUGCCGUAAACGGUGGGCGCUAAGUGUAGGGGUCUUCCACGACUUCUGUGCCGGAGCUAACGCAUUAAGCGCCCCGCCUGGGGAGUACGGCCGCAAGGCUAAAACUCAAAUGAAUUGACGGGG